CAAGCAAGCAAGCAAGCAAGCAACCAACCAACCAACCAACCAAGCAACCAGCUAACUAAAUCUCAGGCUAAGCCCUUUUAUAAACAGGUAGGAUCCACCUCUGGCUUUUCUAUUGGUCUACCUAUUAACUCUUUCUCUCCCCCUGUACAGACAUUUUCAAAAUAACGGGCAAACGCCACAACCGUGUAAUAAUCACUCUCUCUAAUAGUGGACUCACUGUCCCUCAGCAGACGUCAGCGCAUGUACAAACAAAAGCUUAACUGAAUUGAAGUUUGGCACAGGAAAAGCAGGGUCAUAGCUAGGGGGUGGUAAGGUGGGCCCCCACCAGCAGUGCAGGCGAUUGGGGGGGCCACAAAAUCGGCUAAAAUAUAUGUCCAUAAAUAUAAAUAUUGAUUAUUGCCUCCUAAGAAAUGGUUUUUAAUAGAGGGUGAAUUGAAUGGAUGGAGGAGGGGAGUGUUGGAAGAGAGGUGGAAAGAAAGUUAAUUUGUCUGUGGCUAACGGGCGCAAUCUGGACAGUUCUGCCAGGGGCGCAAGAUCACCUAGCUACGGCUCUGAGGAAAAGAACUCUUUGGGUGAAGCCAUCUCUGCCCCAGCUCUGGAGUGAACAGUGACAGCGAAAAGUGACUUGGCAACACAGUGGAGGGAAUUGCCUUACUGCUAAUGUGAACAUAACCUGGGAGUGAGGGAAGUAAAAUGGUCUGUGUGAGCCAGUGACGAAGCUGCAUGCUCCAGCACUGGGGGGCGGAGAGCAGGUGGGGGCAUGGCGUGCAUUCUGGAGGUGUGGCAUGCUGCCACGGGGGUGUGGCGUGUGUCCUGGGGGCAUAGUGUCCGGCGCAGUGGGGGUGCACGGCGAGUGUCCAGGGGGGCGGCCGCGAUUUGUACCCCCCUCCCCAAUGGUGCUGGGGGUGGUGCGCUCCCCUCACCUCCCCCCCCGUUCCUCCGCCAUUGGUGUGAGCACCUUUCAGCACAUAAUGUUCUGGAGCAGGGCAGGACUGAAUAGGAACACGCUUCCUAGGAGGUGAGGACCCACUUGCUAGUUUCUUGCAGGCCCCACUUAUACUUCCCCCCAAUUGUGUUCUCAUGGAGGUGACUUAUACCAAAGGUUAAAGGCGGGGGAGAGUCACUCUUGGUUUCAUCAAAAUAAAUUACUCAGAAUUAAUAACUGAACGCAGGGAUAUGGGGUGGAAAAAAACGGAGCAUCGUGUCAGCCUGGAAGUUGUUUUCCUUGCCUGUGUCGCACAGUGCAGGUAAUAAAUCAUAAUUAGGCCAGGGGGCGGGGGGGGGACGACUAAUAGACUGUAAGGGCGAGAUUCAGAGAACCACAUGAAGCUGAGAAUCCCAAUGAGCAGGAGGAAGAGACAGUGGUGGAUAUAGGAGACUCAGGCAGCAGCUUUCUGCAACAUCUUCUGUUUCUGGCAUGCAAAGUAAUAGGAAGAUUUUCAGAAAAGGAGCAUGGUCCCUCUUCGGUGAUUUCUGACAGUGUUUCCAAAGACAUUUGCAGAGUUCUAUCAUUCUUCAUUGGUUGUGGAUUUUCUAUGCUGUAUGUGCUCCCCUCCUGGGCACGGUAUGCAUUGCGUAUAGGAAGCAUUGUUCCAGCAUAGUGGUGGCUCAUCUCCCCAUCCCCUGGUAUAACCUGUGAAUAUGAUUGUGCCAAGAAAUAUGUGCUUGAUCAGAAUUAAGUCUCCAGUAGCUGAGUGUUAAUGUUAUUUAUUUAAAUAAAAAAAUUGUCCAGUAGCACCUUAGAGACCAACUAAGUUUGUUCUGGGUAUAAGCUUUCGUGUGCAUGCACACUUCUUCAGAUACGAAAGCUUAUACCUAGAACAAACUUAGUUGGUCUCUAAGGUGCUACUGGACAAUUUUAUUUAAUUAUUUAUUUCGACUGUGUGAGACCAACACGGCUACCUACCUGAAUCUGUUAUUUAUUUAUUCAUUUAUAAUUCAAAGGCUAGUGAGGUGCAAAACCAGCUUAAAGCUUAGAAAUACAUUCCAAUUAUAUAUAUAUAUAUAUAUAUAUAUAUAUAUAUAUAUAUAUACACACACACACACACACACACACACAUACAUACAUUUUUUUUAGCAUAGGCCUGACCACAGCAUGAUCCACUAAUGUGAGCAGAGCUCAUUAUUCAGGAUUUGGCCGCACAUUUAAUGGUUUGAUAAACCUAUAGCCAUGGCCUUCUUCCUGUUAACUCCUCCAGACAGCCUAUUUAACUGAGAAUUCAUCAUAAUCUGCUUGGACAAAGUUUAUAGGGAGGUUAGGCUAUAUCUGUUCUUUGUUUGUGGGGAGAUUAUAUGAUAAUGAACGUUCAUCCUGAUUUGCUUCCAUGUUGUUUACACAGUUUCCCUGCCCCAUUAUUCAUUUACCUCACACUUUUCAGUACUUUCUCCCAUCGCUUUCCUGACUUCAAAAAGCCAUUUCAAAAUAAACAAACAAGCAUUGAGUAACGCUUGCAAUGUACUAAAAAUUAUGGUAAAAAUAGAUUAUUUAAGAAAAAUAGAGAAAAUAAGAGAAGCAGUUGAAGAAAGAUUGAUAGUGGUAACCAUGGAAGAGCAGAGGGGAGUCAAAGGUUUCAGGGAAUCCCAAAUGAUGAUGUUGAUGUUUAAUGAUUGAAUUUAAAUUUGCAAUGUAAAACUUAAUAAAAAAGAUUUGACAAAACAAGCAAGCAAGCAAACCUUAAUUUGUUGCACCAAGGUGACAGAGAGCCCUAAUCCACUUUAAUUGUGCAAAGCUAAAGUUAUGGCUUGCUCCUGAAUCCCUCCCACAAAAUACUGACAGCGGGACCUGGGACUGCAUUCACCAAGCCACAAUACCUGGCUGUGUUCGCACGCACGGCACAGCAGCAGAAGCUUAUCAUUUGGAUCCUGCAUUUAUGAACACGUCAAAGCGGCACAUUUUCAAGAAUGCUUGGGAUUUAAUGAAACGGAGGGGGCCCACUCAGCAAAGUUCUCUAGUGACCCUCUUCAGCGCUUCUAAAUGCUCAGCAAUGUAGAAUCCCAGCAUGCACCUUGCAGCUCAGGACCUGGGACAUUUCUGACAUGACAGCUGGCGCAUCUGCUGUAGCACCAAGGGGAAAGAGGGACCGUGUUUCACCGCUCUGCCUCCAAACCAAGCUGUCACUCUUGCUUUCCAGGAAUAGGAACUGGCAGGCAGGGCUUCGUUUUCUAAUGUAACGAUUGCUCCGCAAACGCACAGCAGGCACGGAAGGGGUGACCAGUGGGAGCGGGCAAGGAGCAAAGUGGCCAGCAGAAUACUGAGUGGGCUUGUCGUAAUUGCCAGUGCCACUCAUGUGACUAACGAACCCAGAACUGGGGGGGCGAGGGCAGUGUGGUGGAAGGAGGAGGAGGAGGAGAAGAAGAAAGGUGAUCCUGUCGCUGAACUGAUGGUAAUAAAGCAGCUGAAAAAUGCAUGAACAGAAUAAAUGCCUCUCCCUAUAGCAAAAGAGAAAUAUGAGUGAAGCUGAGCACAAUCAAAGAGAUGCUAGAUGGGCAGUAGUAGGGAGGCUGGAGGAAAGGAGCAAGAGGAAACAAAAGGAGAGAGAAAAUGUGUUUUUGUUUAUGUUUUUAUGCUGCCUCAUUCCAAGGGAUAUGAAAGACCACUUUUCUGUAAAAAUGUGGCAAGACACACAUUAUGCUAACAUCUUUUCUCCCCCCCCCCCCUUUGUUUGCUCAAUUCUGAUUACAGAGCAGCAGGCUGCUUAUAUAUAUACCAUCCUCAUUCUAAUGUUAUUCCCGAUGGAGAAAUUCAUACUCGAGUGAAAAAAACAACACACACACCCAUUAUAUAACAUAGGAAUAGCUAUAGAAGGAAAUAUUUUGAUAUCUUCAACCACCUUCUUUUUUGUAUAUGAGUAGGCAUUCAUGGGACCACGCCCACAAAAGAUCAUAUGUGUGUUUCCAAAUUACAGCCUUUCCAGACAAUGAAAAUAUAGAAAUAAAAUCACCCAGCUCAAAUAUUAACAGCACACAACACAUAGAUACUUUGCUGUGGUGGUGUGUGCUUGCUGGUGUGUGUGUAGUGAAUUUACUGAUAUUCCCCGGGAAACAAUUAAAUGUGGUAGAUGUGGACAGUUCCACUGGAAAGGAGAAGGACAAAAAUCUGGAAUACAGUGGUACCUCGCAAGACGAAUGCCUCGCAAGACGAAAAACUCGCAAGACGAAUGCCUCGCAAGACGAAAAACUCGCAAGACGAAAGAGUUUUUCGUUUUUUGAGUUGCUUCGCAAGACGAAUUUCCCUAUGGGCUUGCUUCGCAAGACGAAAAACGAAAAAAACGAAAACGUCUUGCAAGUUUGUUUCCUUUUUCUUAAAACCGUUAAUACCCAGGGUGACUUUGAGGAGCAACUCAUAGCACGCGGUGUGGUAGCCUUUUUUGAGGUUUUUGAAGACUUUGGUGAUUUUGAAGACUUUGGGAAACCGUGCUUCGCAAGACGAAAAAUUCGCAAGACGAAAAAACUCGCAGAACGAAUUAAUUUCGUCUUGCGAGGCACCACUGUAAAAGGGAAGGAAGGUGAAGCAGAAGGAAGGAAGGAAGGAAGGAAGGAAGGAAGGGGAAAUUAGUACUGGCUUGCAAAAGAAGAGGACGUCAGAGCCAGCUUACCCAUGACACAAGGUGAAGCACCCACCUCAGAUUGCAGAAGUGCACUGCUUUCACUACUGAGAGGGAGAAAAGCCUAGUGAGUGGCAACACUUGGAGGAGCACUCUGGCUCCUACCAUGUUCAGCAAAAGGGGGGAGACGUUCCUGCACACUGGCUGUUGCUCAGCUCCCCACCCCCCACCCCAUGGUUGCCCAAAGGGAAUGUGGCUCUUAGACUGAAAAAGGCUCUCUACAAUUACUGCACUGGGACAAUAUCCAGGGAUGCUUAAAGCUUGAUGGUAGCACUGCCUGCGCAACUGUGACCCACCAAACCCAACACAGCUUCUUGACGCCUCUCCUUCUCGGAAAGAAAGAGUAGUGCAGAUGCCGUUGGGGGUGAUCCACCUCCGGCCCCCUCAACCGAAGAUCCGUCAAUUAGAUCAUACAUUGGUUCAGAUGUAUAUGAAUAUCUGGACAAACAAACAAGGGGUCUUUCUGCUCUGUCUCCAUGCUGACAGCGGGGAAUAUAUUCAUGGCACCUACACACAUCAGCGCCAGUGACUAAAAAGGAAAUGUGAUUAAAGGGCUCAGGAAAGUUCAGCAUUCCCACAGCUGCUGGCAUUUAUACAGGAAAUUACAAAGAGAUAGCUAUUUAUUUUGCAAACCCAGUGAUGGAUCAUCAGCUUAUUCAGAGGAGUAGCUCUUCGGUUGUGAAUCCUUUGCACUUUGCUCAGCUACUACUAGCACCAGCCUCUGGUGCCUGAAAAGAAAUGAUGCCUUUGUUGGAAAUAGUGUCGGAAAUUUUUGUUCAGUCCGCACUUUCAAGUGAGCUGACCUGAUUUGCAACUUUCAGACUAAUUCCUAGGCCAGAAUGCAGUUAUCCACCAGAUUUCACACUUCUAUAAGUUUUUUUGGAGGCAGUCUUUGUAGGUAUUUAUUUAUUGUGCAGAGUUGUAAACUGCUUCACAGCCAUCAGCUACCAAAGCAGCGUACCAUGAGAUAAAAAUGGAAGAAAAUACAAAACGUGAUGAACUCGGUAAGCUAAAAGCAAUAAGACCAUCUCUGCAGUUCUGCAAUGAGAAUUUAUUGGGUAUAAUGCGUACAAAAAGGUGUAUUUUAGGGGGAAAUGCAUAGAAUUGAAAUGCAAUUUUUAAUGCAUUUUUUUUUAAAAAAAAACCCAACUGCCAGGAGUAGGUGCCAGGAGCAGGUUAGCAAUAAGACACAGGGCUUCGGCUCAGGAAACCAGGCCUAUUGAGCACAGCAACUCGUUUGCAUAGUUCUUGCCCCAAUGAGGCAGCUGCAAGGACUGAAGAUUCCCUGCCUUCCCAUGGCUCCCUAAGUCUCCUCCUCCCUCGGUUCCUUCCCAAGCAAUCUGAGGCUCCUUCGUCUUGCCUGUCUUUUUGCUCUGCCCUCUUCUGAUCCUGGGAGACCAGCAGGGAGGAGAGCUGGUCUCAGCAGAAGGGGGAGUAUGCCUUGUUUCCUCACCAGCCUGACUCAUUGCUGCCUCUUGGCCCCCUCCUCUCCAGCCUCCACUUCUCUCUCUGAUUCUGGACUGCUCUCUGCCACAGCCUCUUUCUGCUCACUAAACCCUGUUACCUCUUCAGUUUCCAACACCUCCUCCUCCCAGUCUGCUUCCUCUUCUCCCUCUGACUAUCCAUCAUCAUUCCACCACCACUCCCCUGGCUCUGAGCCUUCUUCUCUUUGUGUUCCCUUAGGAGUUCCUCAGCUGGUGCUUCUCAACUCUCCCCUGCAUCCAGCUGGUCCAUGACAGCAACUGAUUGCCCUGGUCUAUAGGUCUCUAGAAAUGGUAGCAGUAGGAGGUAAAAGGAGAGGAACUGCCAUUUUGUGAAUGGAUAAAUGCAGCUGUUCAUUUACCUAGAAAUAAUGUGUUGCCUUUCAUACUCACAAUGGAACCAGGAGACAUCACGUCACCUUAGGCCUGUGCAAUGGUGACAUUUGGACCAAUUACCACCAUUCAGACACAGGGCUGCUUUUGAAGGGAGACAGAUUUUCAUUUCUUUGCUUUUCACUUGACUUCAAUGGUCCUGAAUUAGCCAGCAGAGAAGGUUUCUGAAAUGGCAAAAGGAAAUGCCUGGUUUUAACACUCACCACUCCUACUUAUAUUAUUAUUCAUUUCAUUUCUAUACCACUAUAUAUUUUUAAGAAAAAAACUCAAAGUAACCUACAUUAAAACAUCAGAUAAAACCAUCUAGAAUAAAACAUUACUGAAGAAAGUCAAAUAUAAAGUAUACAUUCAAAGCAACAUAAUUAACAGGAAACUAUUAUCUUAAAGAUGUCAAAAUAAAAACAUUACAAAGGAGGUCAACUACAGAAUGCACAUUUGACACAGCAAAGUUUUAAAAAAUUCUUAAAAUUUUCAAAAGAAAACGUAAAGGAAGUAAAAUAUAAAAUGCACAUUUAAAGCACUAUAAUUAGCAAGAGAAUAAAAUAUUAUCAUAAGCUUAGAAUACAGUAUAUCUGCUGCUGUUGCUGCCAAGGGUGGUACAUGGCGGGAGGCAGCUGUGGAAGCUCAGCCUCAGUGACCUGGGUCCGCACUGAGAAACAGCCUCUUCAGCAGCCUCAGCUUUCAUAGCUGGAGUCAGUCAGGGCCCUGCCCUCCCAGUCCAUAUAGAAAAGGACCUGCGAGGCAGGGAGCAGGUCUUCCAGGAUUCACCAGGAUUCAAGAGAGAGUGUCAGUCAGAAAGCUGGACAAUAAUUUUAACAAAGAACAUAAGAUCAACAAGAAACACUUGUAUCUGGGUAGAUACAACUAAGUCCAGUGCCACCUAGUGAUGAAACAGCAUCAUGACGCUAUCCAUAUAAUAUUAAAUACAAGGGCUCUGCAUGCCCCUUGCAGUCUGAUUCAGGGCCCAAUCCAGUUGUUCAGAACAGCCCCAAUUCAACCUAAGAUAAUUUGAGACUGACUCAAUCUGACCUGGAUCCAGGCCUUAAUCCAAAUCAGGGGCUUUGUACAUGUUUAAUUAGGGCUAAACCCCUGAUUAUACAUGGUGGGGGAAGAAGGAGAUGCAGGCAGCCUAAUUCUUCCUCUCCUCACCAUUGGACUGCUCUUUUUUUUAUAGCCUGGACCACUCCAACUUGUGGACCCAAUGCAAUCAAGGAUGAACCAGGGCUGCCUUGAACAACUCCUUGACAGUACAGUGGUACCUCUAGUUACAGACUCAGUCCAUUCUGGGAUGCCAUUCGCACCCCGAAAAGUCCGUAACUAGAGCACUGCUUCUGCGCAUGCGCACAGUGGGUUAGAGCAGUUCACACAUGUGGUAAAACCCUGAAGUAUACAUUUCCGGGUUUGCCGCAUUUGCAAGCCGAAAAGACACAACAUGAACCUAAGGAGGUAUUACUGUACUACAAUGUUUUGAGUUUUGAAUUUUUGUGUGUGUGAAUUGGGUAAGGAAUUGAAGUAUCAACCAGAAAGCCGAGAAUGUGAUCACAGCCUGUAUCCAUGACCUGUCAGGAGCCACACCCUUCCUCUGUCCCAAAUGUCAUUCAAGGGAAAAGAUGUGUGACAAUCUACCCUUCUUUUCUCUUUCACUGGAGGUUCACUCAUAGAUAAUAUUUACAACAAAAAUAUGAAUUGACCCUGAUCAACAGCACCCUUAACAUAAACAGAUGGUUUAAAUUUAAAAUCAAAAGAACCACUCUAGCUAUUACGCCACUCUGACCAAGGAGGCUGGUUAAACCAGUUACAAAAUACAAAGGUUGUAUCUGUCUUGUCCAAUCCCAUGAUGUUUCCUAACAUGGCACCAUCUCCCAUUUCUGGCCAUGGUGUAAUACUUCUGCAAAUCUGUGAAUUCUAAAUCUUCAAACAUUAGAGAAACCAAGUGCGUCAGAGCUUGGUAAGUGUCAUAAAAGCAUCUGCACAUUUUGGGGAUGUGUGUGCUUGGAUGUGUGGGCGUCUUAUUAGUAUAUGUGUUGUCGUUAUUACAGUGCUAUCCAAAACAGCACUACUUGUUUUCUCUCUGCAAGGGAUGCAUUUGUUAAAGGGCAUGUUUUCAGAUCAAACAGUAGAUCUUCACACAUUUCCAUAUAUUUACAACGUAAAUGACAGCCAACAUUCUGCAUCCAGCGUGAGAGUGAUCUUUAGCUUUCCUCGAGGGCAAUGAGCUGAUUUAUUCUGCCCAUUUGCCCUUCCCAGCCUCUGCUUUACUAACCUUUUGCCCAGUUCCAACACUAAUUGCCUCUGCAGUAGCUGGAUCAUGGGGAACUGAGUUUGAACCUGUGGAGUAGGGAGUGACAUGGAACGGACACCCAUCCUUGUUAUCUGUAUUUCAGCACCAAGUGCCCAUGGAUGAAUUGUUCCUUCUUCCUCCAGGUUGCACUCUGUCUUCUGUGAGGAAAAAAGCACGUAUUGAAAAGGGCUGUAGAGCAUUCAGAAAGUCCCAGGUUAAAUCCCUGACGUCUCCAGAUAGGACCAGGCAAAAUCUCUGUGUGAAAUUCUGGAGACCUGCUGGUUAAUGGUCUUUGGGAGAGCAAUUUUACCGCAUGUUAUGAUGGUAUAUAUGCUUUGGCUCCAAUAGAAACAAUGGGGAAAGACUAGGAUAAACAGAUAUAGAAGGUACAGUUGUGCAGGAUUUUUUUAUAAUAAUAAUAAUAAUAAUAAUAUAUUUGUACCCCGCCCAUCUGGCUAGGCUUACCCAGCCACUCUGGGCAGCUUCCAACAAAGAUUAAAAAUACGUACAUUAAAAUGUCACACAUAAAAACUUCCCUGAACAGGGCUGCCUUCAGAUGUCUUCUAAAUGUCAGGUAGUUAUUUAUCUGUUUGACAUCUGAUGGGAGGGCGUUCCACAGGGUGGGCACCACUACCGAAAAGGCCCUCUGCCUGGUUCCCUGAAACUUUGCUUCUUGCAGCGAGGGAACCGCCAGAAGGCCCUCGGUGCUGGAUCUCAGCGUCCGGGCAGAAUGAUGGGGGUGGAGAUGCUCCUUCAGGUAUACUGGGCCAAGGCCGUUUAGGGCUUUAAAGGUCAACACCAACACUUUGAAUUGUGCUCGGAAAUGUACUGGGAGCCAAUGUAGGUCUCUCAGGACCGGUGUUAUAUGGUCUCGGCGGCCGCUCCCAGUCACCAGUCUGGCUGCUGCAUUCUGGAUUAGUUGUAGUUUCCAGGUCACCUUCAAAGGUAGCCCCACGUAGAGCGCACUGCAGUAGUCCAAGCAGGAGAUAACCAGAGCAUGCACCAUUCUGGCGAGACAGUCCGCGGGCAGGUAGGGUCUCAGCCUGCAUACCAGAUGGAGCUGGUAGACAGCUGCCCUGGAUACAGAAUUCACCUGUGCCUCCAUGGACAGCAGUGAGUCCAAAAUGACACCCAGGCUGUACACCUGGUCCUUCAGGGGCACAGAAUUUUGGGGGUUUCAAGCAUAGUUUUUUAUUAACCUCCUGUACUGUCCAGCCAAUUUUGCUUAAAAUACUAAAAAAAUGUGCAAACAUGGUAGUUAUGAUCAGAUACCUAUCCCAAACAUUUUUCGGCUUUUCAGGAAGGUGGAAGAUACUUGCUAGCUGGUCGUGUGAGUACAACAGAACAUCUAAGCAUGCGUAGGGAUAAAUGGUGUAAAUCCACAGGCAUUGCCAUGGAGGAAAACCGUUAAAACAUUUUUGUAAAUAAAGAAAGGAAAAGGAAAAGGAAAAGGAAAAGGAAAUCAGUAAAACGUGGUGUUCGAACAUGGAGAAAACAGGAGACCAGGAAUGCACAGUUGGCUCCCUGUAGGUGACACUCAUCAUUCAAAGGAACAGAGUUCUUUGUUGCACUUCAAAGAGUGGGUUUUUGCAGGGAAAGCUUUGGGACAAAAACGGGGAGGCACUUGGACACAGAUCUGUGCCUGGAAAAAGUGGGGCAAAAUGUAAUUGUAGAUAAGCCCCCAGUUUGCUUUUAAAUGCAAAAGUACCUAAUGAGCACUUUAAAAGAAAUUACUUUGCAAACUGAAAUACAUAUCCUUUGAAAUCCACAAUUCUCUGAAUUUUGUAGUUCAGGACUCCAGUGAAGCAAUGUGUACAGAAAUAUACCCCAGUAAAAUGUGCAUAAAAAUGCAUAUAUUCAUGAAAAUAUAUCAGAGAAAAAUACUUCACAAAACCAUGCAUGUUAGGCAAAAUUGCAUACAAAAUUGUCCAUAUAUUAGGAGAAAUUUGAAUUUUCAUGAUGGCUACUUUAAAACAAAAAUUCCGCAUACUGAUGUGGAAAUGUGAAAAGCUGGACGUAAGCAUGGAAAAAUACAAAAUGGGGAGAAACAUGAACUGUCAAAUCUACCCAUCCCUAAUCGCAGCUCCCAGAACAUGAGCAUUGAAUGUUCCACUACUAUGUCUAAAGACAGGCCUCUCCUGUUCACACUCAGCAGUGUUUGCCAGCACAUCAUUUGGGUUUAUCAUGUAAGAUGCACAUUGGCUCUGAGUGAGGGAGGCAUUUUCAUAGUUUUUCCUUCUUCACUUCAAGGCUCCUGGCAGCCUGGAGUUGAGCUCGAACGUGUCUCAUCCAUCAUUCACUGGCGGGAUGGGGGAUUAUGUGACCAGAGGGACAAGGGGAGUGAAAGACAGGCAUGCAGAUGGUGAAGGGAAAACUGUCAAGAUGACAAUCUGGCUAUGAAGGAAUAGCAGUAAGAAGAAUCUCUGGAAGAAGUCAGUCUGAUAUACACUCUUCCUAUGCAAAUGCUUUCAGGGAUUGCUUUUGGGAUAGUCGUGAGGGGGUUAAACAGUUUUAAGAUUAUUGCAAGGAAAUAAAUAGGCGCCUACCAGAAUCUGUAGCAACGCUGACGAGGAUUUGGAGCUGGGUAAGGAAUACAAAUGAUAGAGCCAUUAGAAGAGAGGCCAGUUUUUGCUAGGGCUUGUGUAAUGUACUCAAUAAAGCCAGUUUAAAAAAAAAAUCACUUCUUGGUUUGCUGGAUUUACAAAAGCAUGACUAUUUCUGGCAUCAUCUGCUGCAUCCUGAUGGUUUUUAGAGAUGACACUUAGAAAGGAAAGUGUGUGGUUUAAAAAGACAUGUGGCAAGAGAAUAAGAGAGUAACUGGGACCCCCAGACAUCAGCUACACAACAUGCUAUUUAAUAAUAAACACUGAACUAAUUUGUACUCACAAGCUGAUCUGCUGGCUUCCCACUUCUUUCGGAGUUCAUUCACUCAUGCCAGGGCUUGAGGUCUUUUACAGCUGGGUCUAGUGAAUGAAAGGUGUGUUUGUUGGUUGUUGGUUGUAGAAUGGAAGGGAAGAGCCCCAGAUCCUGCUGUGGUUAAGGGCACUUUCAAAGCAUCUGUGAGAAAGUGGGGCAGAAUCAAUUACAGACCACCUUUGUGCACCCUGUUUAGGGGUUGCUCUUCAUCUGCCAGGAGCCAGGACAGUAGUAAUGCCUCUAUAUGGGUAUAUAGUUAGCAUAAGGAUACAUUAGCCAAGUUUUCCACAAAUAUUUUGGUGGAAGAUUCCAGUGAUUUUAGCUUCCAUGCUAUGAUUUUUACACCCAAGUUCUUCCAAGGUUGUAUUCCCCAUAGCUGUCAACUUACAGAUUUGAAAAUAAGGGACCAGCAGCCUUGAAAAUAAGGGACCAGCAGCCAAAAUAAGGGACCUGCAGCCUCACCUGUUCCAGGCACUCCAGUCUUCCUGUUCUCCUGCAGUCUGGUCAAACUCAUGCUCAUAGCUUCGAGAACACUGUCCAACCAACUUUGUAACCAGAGGUUCAAGUGAAUAGAAUCUGAAUCACAUGCACCACAAGGCCUAUGCAGCCUCAUCUUAAGAUGGCUCCCCAGCCUGGCUUUGCACUGCAAAGUUUGCAGCAGCACGUGCAACAAAAUGGCGCCCAGCAUUCAAAAACCCCUCAGCUUGCAUUAACUAGCCACACACAAGGCAUGCAAGCUCCACCCCCCAUCGUUCUUAGACUUCUUAUUGGGUGAGCAACACAGCCAAGCAACACAGUUGGAGCCUCCCUCCUCCCUGGCCGGCAGGGAGGGAGGGAGAGGAGCUGCUUCCUUUGAAAUUUAAGGGACAUUUAAGGGACAUCCAUCAAUAAGGGACAGCAGCGGGACAUGGCGCUGGAAUAAGGGAUUGUCCCUUCAAAUAAGGGACACUUGACAGCUAUGGUAUUCCCUUCCCACUCCAUGGGAGGAGGGGUGCUAUCUUUUGCCAUAUUGGGAAGAGAUGAUAAAAAGGAGCUUCUGCUGUUUGUGUAAAGCUGCAUGGAUCAGUCUAGGUCUAGGAACCCAAACAGUAGGAUUUAGAGGCUGUAUUCUCUGCACUGCCAUGAUAGCUUGGCCAGAGAAUAGAGCUACUUGUUUGCUCUCUGCUGUGCUUCAGAACUUACAUUGCAGAAUGUCAAGGGUAAUGUUGCAGCUACAAGAAAAGCUGGGACCAUGUGGUGCAAGAAGCCAAUAGGUUAUUCUUGGCUGCUUCCUUGGUUUAAGUAACUUGUUCUUCUCAGGUGAUGGAUGAAGGGCUAUAGCUCAGUGGUAAAACAUCUGCUUUGCAGGUAGAAGGUCUCAGGUUCAAUUCAUGGCAUCUCCAAGGAGGACUGGGAGAGACGAACCCAGUGAUCUGACUCAGUGCAAUGCAGUUUCCUAUGUCCUUAGACUUGCAGUCCACCAGUCAGAGACAUGGGAAGCUACCAUAUAAGGGGGGAAACAGCAGAGUAGAAGAUGACUCGGAUUUUAUUUUUGUUUCUCCAUCCCAACUGCACGGUUUCCUAAAAGCCAUUAAAUUACAAGAGAGCUUAGGCACCGAGACCUCUGCUUUGCACUCCGGUUUGCAUGUAGAUGCUAGUGAGUCCACAGGGAGUUCAGACUAGAGAGUAAAUUUGGGCUGACUCAGUAAAGAGGGUUUAGUUGAGAGCUGAUAGCAAUAAGGGGCUCAGUCUAGAAGUACAGGGAGCACAAGACUCAUGGGUAAUGAAAGCCAGUAAGCAAGAUCUCUACCAUGAGAUAUAAUAGUGGGGGGAAAUCACCAUGAUAGGAGGAACCUUUUAUGAAUCAAAUCCACCUUACACAGAGGAUGAGAUAAAGACUCUGGUGUGCUUACCUGAACAAGUAUGUCAAGAUUCAACUGUUAAUCAAAUGUUCAGUAAAUCUUUCAGGUGAGCACAGUGUCAAAGGGACAGCUUGUCAAGGUAGGUCAAUUGUAAUCCUAAUAUUCCAUGACAGCACCCCAUCAAUCUAAAUUAAGGAUCACGAGUUGCUUGCUAAUUACGCCUAUUAGGAACGGUUUUGACACACUCAACCAAUCAACGUCACGGGUACUUCCUGCAUGCACAUGAGGAAUGACAAUUGUGUCAAGAGUUUUGUGGAGCAAAAAAAGACCCAUUUCCUGCGUUUUUUUCUGGGUGCAUUUGUUCUUGGUGAGGCCUUUUCAAAACUAGACAACGGAAAUCUAAGCUAGGGUGCCAUGCAUCCUACUUUACAGAGGGCAGUCCCCUGUUUGAAGUAGUCCUCCAUUUGAAGGGCUGUCCAGCCCAGGUCUGGUUUAAAGAAGAAUCAUAAGAUGCCGAAAUGGCCCGACCAUCAUUAGCCCCUGGGCAGCAGAUUGAGCAGGCACACAGGUGAUGUGGUCCCAGACUUCCCCACGAUGAUGAGAUGUGCUGUAUUUCUAUAUAAAUCCCAGGGACCAUUUAUAAAUUUUGUUCAGCGCUGCAUAUUUCACGCAAAUAUGUAUCCUCCUUUGUCCCACCCAUCCUGUUUCUCUGGGGUGAUGCAUUUCUUUAUCUGGCAAUAUGCGAGUGCCCCCCAAUCUAGGAAUCCUAAUCAAGAACAGAGAGGGAGUGUAGUUUGCAUAACAGCUGUGAGCUGAACACAGAACUGAGAGCACAUUAUGAUCAGGAUGACGCCCUUCCAAUAAUAGCAGAAUCUACUCUUUAAACUAAAUGGUUGUGGGUAUGAUAGGGAGAGAAAGCUGUUCACCUGACCAAUAUGACAGGUUUAGAGGUUGAAACCUUGCCUGGGCCUAUUUAACUUGGGAUGGCAACACAUGAACUUUCAGUAACCUCUGAUUUGUUCAAAGGCAAAUCAGGGAUAGAAAUUUGUCUAAGAUCCUUGACCAAAAAAGGGACUAUCUACAUUGCUAAUCUUUAUGGGCCCAUGGGCAUGUUUAGAAUUUUGAGAGAGUGCUUAGUCAUGCUGUCCACAUGACCCGGAAGCUGUACGCUGGCUCCCUCGGCCAAUAAAGCAAGAUGAGCGCCGCAACCCCAGAGUCGGCCACGACUGUACCUAAUGGUCAGGGGUCCCUUUACCCUUUACCUUUAAUGGGCCCACACCUCUGGCUGCUUCUCUUCCCCUCCCCUGGGUCACUCUGCCUGACACAUGGAGAGAGAAAGCACACAUUCACAAACACACAUGUGUAUUCACUUACACACUCUGCUUUUUGUGGGGUCUGGGUAAAAGUCAGAUCCAGUAGAAUUAAAAGGGACCCUCUUUUGUAUGAUUUGACAGAGUCCUUUCCCCCAAUAUGACAAGCGGCAUGCCAGUUUUACUCAGAGCACAACCCUUGAAAUCAAUGAUUCUAGUUGAGGAAACUGUAAACUUUCCAGUGUUUCAGGACCACAGAUCCCAACGUCCUUGCUCAUGGUGGCUUGGCCUAAUGAGUGGUGCCGUCCAACAAAUAUCUAGGGGGUUUACCACCCCUGUUCUGGAACAAUAACUACAUAAAAGUGGGGAAAUGAAAAUGGGUCUGGUUGUCACAUGGAAGAUGGAGCAAGCUUGUUUUCUCCUGCUCUGGAGGGUAGGAUAUGAACCAAUGGAUUCAAGGUACAAGAAAGGAGAUUCCGAAUAAACAACAGUAAGAACUUUCUGACAGUAAGGGCUGUUAGAGAGUGGAACAGAUUCCCACAAGAGGUGGUGGGCUCUCCUUCCUUGGAGGUUUUUAAUUAGAGGUUGGAUGGCCAUCUGUCAUGGAUGCUUUAGUUGAGAUUCCUGCUGGACUAAUGACCCUCUGGGUCCCUUCUAACUCUACAAUUCUAUGAUUCUAUGAUGAGUUCAUGUAUUAAGCCAUUGUCACAAAUAGUUUCUAGUCUAAUAAUGGUCUAACAAUGGUCAGUUAUACAUGGGGGAGGGGAAUUGCAUUUGGUUAACUCUGUAUUGCUGUGUGAUAUCCACAUUUAGCGCAGGAAUGAUGAACCUGUGGACCUCCAGAUGUUUUCAGAUUCCAACUCCCAUCAGCCCCAGCCAGCAUUGCCAAGGCUCAGGGAUGGUGGGAGUUUUAAUCUAGCAACAUCUGGAGGGUUGCAGGUUCCUCAACCCUUCUCUAACAGAUCAUGCAGAAAGCAUACUAAAAAAAUUUUAAUCAGACCAGACAUAAACUCAAACAGUUCUCAAAGGAAAUGGGGAAAUGAUGAGACAUUGAAAGUUUUGUGAACUGAAACAGCUUUAUUUUGUGGUUUUUUUGCUUGUCCAUUCCUUACAUCGACAGAUGCUGCCUGCAGCUGCAAUUUGUGUGUGGUCACAGGGGGGUAUUUGCGCACGGUUGAAAUUCAAUUUUUAUGGAGCAGACUUUGCCACUCGCCCACUAUCCAACCAAUAUUUUCCUGUUCAUUUGCGGUAUGUUUACUGAAUAUACACUGCACAAAAUCAAUCCCAGAGUGUCUCUAUGUGGCGUCAAUUUGAGGACAACUUCAAUCAUGUGAAAAUACUCUGAGAGCCUGUGGUAAAAUUGAAAAGGGGGGGGAGGGGAGAGAGAGAGAAAAAGAAGUUUUUUUGAAGCCAUCACUAAUACCUUAGCCACAAAGCUAUAUUCUUUAAACCUAGAUUUAUAUAUCCUAAGCCCCUUCUAUCAUCAUUAAUGUCUCUGCAGAAAGGGAGAAAGAACACAAUUGAAUUGCUAGAAAAGCUAAUUUCUAUGAACUGAAAAGCUACCAACUAAAUUGUGUGUGUGUAUCCUGCUUGUUAGCCAAAAAGAGACUCCCAGAGCAACUUACAAAUCACUAAAAAAAGAGAGAGGAUAGUCCUUGUCCUCAGGAUUACAAUAUAAAAAGCCACAACAUAAAAGGAAAAUAAGUUGUGAGGAAGGAGGAAAUAAGAAAACACAGGCUCAAUUUCUUAGUUAAAAGUUAUUUGAAUGGCAUUGGCAGCUGGGAUGGGAAAGGUCAAAACCUCCUUUAUUGGAGAGGUUGGAUGGCCAUCUGUCAUGGAUGCUUUAGCUGAGAUUCCUGCAUUGCAGGGGGUUGGACUAGAUGACCCCCAGGGGGCUUCCAACUCUACAAUUCUAUGGUUCUAAGGCACAAAACACUGCUAGUCUUUGAGAUGCGCCAGAGGAGCAGCCCUGCAUUCCAUCUCUUCAUUUCUGCAGCCUGACGUAAUAAUGGAUGCUUGGCCAGGUUAGAGCAGGUGGAUAAAGGAGCCUAGUUUCUUAGCAGUGGGUGAUGGCCCUUCUCUGCUGCAGCUCGAUGUAAGGACUGCUGUCAGGUCAUGACAAAUUCUGGAAUUGCUUUCAUUUGCAUUCUGCUAUCUAAACAUAGAGUGCACAGUGCACGGCGCAGGAGUUUUUCUUAGGGACUGUUAGCUAAGCUCGUUGCUUCUCUUGCACACACAUUGGAUGUGCCCAGAAAAACCUGCAACCGAAAGCUGCUUGGAUUCAUUUCUAGUUUUUAGUCUGUCCCCGAUUUGUCUCACACAAAUUGCAUUCUGUAUUGUUUCAUGUUUCAGUUUGGCCUUGGAGUUCAGAACGAAGCAGGGCAAAGGCUAAUAGAGUUCUGCCAAGAGAACAAGCUGGUCAUCACAAACACUCUUUUCCAACAACACAAGAGACGACUCUACACAUGGACAUCACCAGAUGGGCAGCAUCGAAAUCAGAUUGAUUAUAUUCUCUGCAGCCAAAGAUGGAGAAGCUCUAGACAGUCAGCAAAAACAAGACCUGGAGCUGACUGUGGCUCAGAUCAUCAGCUUCUUAUAGCAAAAUUCAAGCUUAAACUGAAGAAAGUAGGAAAACCACUGGGCCGGUAAGAUACAAUCUAAGUCAAAUCCCUUAUGAAUACGCAGUGGAAGUGAGGAACAGGUUUAAGGAUUUAGAUUUGGUGGACAGAGUGCCUGAAGAACUAUGGAUGGAGGCUCGUAACAUUAUACAGGAGGCAGCAACUAAAACCAUCCCAAUGAAAAGGAAAUGCAAGAAAGCAAAGUGGCUGUCCAACGAGGCCUUACAAAUAGCGGGGGAGAGAAGGCAAGCAAAAUGCGAGGGAGAUAGUGAAAGAUACAGGAAAUUGAAUGCAGAUUUCCAAAAAUAGCAAGGAGAGACAAGAAGGCCUUCUUAAACGAGCAAUGCAAAGAAAUAGAGGAAAACAAUAGAAUGGGAAAAACCAGAGAUCUGUUCAAGAAAAUUGGAGAUAUGAAAGGAACUUUUUGUACAAAGAUUGCCAUAAUAAAAGACAAAAGUGGAAAGGACCUAACAGAAGCAGAAGACAUCAAGAAGAGGUGGCAAGAAUACACAGAGGAACUAUACCAGAAAGAAAUGGAUGUCUCGUAUACCCCAGGUAGUGUGGUUGCUGACCUUGAGCCAGACAUCCUGGAGAGUGAAGUCAAAUGGGCCUUAGAAAGCACUGCUAAUAACAAGGCCAGUGGAAGUGAUGAUAUUCCAGCUGAACUAUUUAAAAUUUUAAAAGAUGAUGCUGUUAAGGUGCUACACUCAAUAUGCCAGCAAAUUUGGAAAACUCAGCAGUGGCCAGAGGAUUGGAGAAGAUCAGUCUACAUCCCAAUCCCAAAGAAGGGCAGUGCCAAAGAAUGCUCCAACUACCGCACAAUUGCACUCAUUUCACACGCUAGCAAGGUUAUGCUUAAAAUUCUACAAGGCAGGCUUAAGCAGCAUGUGGACCGAGAACUCCCAGAAGUGCAAGCUGGAUUUCGAAGGGGCAGAGGAACCAGAGACCAAAUUGCAAACAUGCGCUAGAUUAUGGAGAAAGCUAGAGAGUUCCAGAAAGACAUCUACUUCUGCUUCAUUGACUAUGCAAAAGCCUUUGACUGUGUUGACCACAGCAAACUAUGGCAAGUUCUUAAAGGAAUGGGAGUGCCUGAUCACCUCAUCUGUCUCCUGAGAAAUCUCUAUGUGGGACAAGAAGCUACAGUUAGAACUGGAUAUGGAACAACUGAUUGGUUCAAAAUUGGGAAAGGAGUACGGCAAGGCUGUAUAUUGUCUCCCUGCUUAUUUAACUUAUAUGCAGAAUUCAUCAUGCGAAAGGCUGGGCUGGAUGAAUCCCAAGCCAGAAUUAAGAUCGUCGGAAGAAAUAUCAACAACCUCAGAUAUGCAGAUGAUACAACCUUGAUGGCAGAAAGUGAGGAGGAAUUAAAGAACCUUUUAAUGAGGGUGAAAGAGGAGAGCACAAAAUAUGGUCUGAAGCUCAACAUCAAAAAAACGAAGAUCAUGGCCACUGGUCCCAUCACCUCCUGGCAAAUAGAAGGGGAAGAAAUGGGGGCAGUGAGAAAUUUUACUUUCUUGGGCUCCAUGAUCACUGCAGAUGGUGACAGCAGUCACGAAAUUAAAAGACGUCUGCUCCUUGGGAGAAAGGCGAUGGCAAACCUAGACAACAUCUUAAAAAGCAGAGACAUCACCUUGCCAAAAAAGGUCCGUAUAGUAAAAGCCAUGGUUUUCCCAGUACAGUGGUGCCUCGCAAGACAAAAUUAAUCCGUUCCACGAGUCUCUUCAUCUUGCGGUUUUUUCGUCUUGCGAAGCAUGGCUAUUAGCGGCUUAGCAGCUUAGCGGCUAUUAGCGGCUUAGCGGCUAUUAACGGCUUAGCGGCUUAGCGGCUAUUAACGGCUUAGUGGCUUAGCGGCUUUAAGAAAAAGGAAACAAACUCGCAAGAACUCGCAAGACGUUUCGUCUUGCGAAGCAAGCCCAUAGGGAAAUUCGUCUUGCGGAACGACUCAAAAAACGGAAAACUCUUUCGUCUAGCGAGUUUUUCAUCUUGCGAGGCAUUCGUCUUGUGGGGCACCACUGUAGUGACAUAUGGAAGUGAGAGCUGGACCAUAAAGAAGGCUGAUCGCCAAAGAAUUGAUGCUUUUGAAUUAUGGUGCUGGAGGAGACUCUUGAGAGUCCCAUGGACUGCAAGAAGAUCAAACAUAUCCAUUCUUAAGGAAAUCAGCCCUGAGUGCUCACUGGAAGGACAGAUCGUGAAGCUGAGGCUCCAAUACUUUGGCCACCUCAUGAGAAGAGAAGACUCCUGGAAAAGACCCUGAUGUUGGGAAAGAUUGAGGGCACAAGGAGAAGGGGACGACAGAGGACGAGAUGGUUGGACAGUGUUCUCGAAGCUACCAGCAUGAGUCUGACCAAACUGCGGGAGGCAGUGGAAGACAGGAGUGCCUGGCGUGCUCUGGUCCAUGGGGUCACGAAGAGUUGGACACGACUAAACAACUAAACAACAACAAUUGUUUCAUGCAAAUUGCACACAAAAGCUGAUCACUCCCCUUCUGGAAAUGCCAGGUAUCUUUGCUAAAGGUCAGCAGCCUCAAUAAGCCUCUCUCCCUAAUGAAGGGAAAAGCCUAACUAGCAAAUUUGUAAUAGCUCCAUUGCUACCCUUUGCUAAUAUUGCUGCUUGGUGCCAGUAAGUUCCUAUAGGAAAUUAGUUUGGGGUCCUAUGCAUUUCAGAUGUAAACACCAAAUGGACACAGGAAAAACUUAAGAUUGCUUGAAUCCAGCUAGGUCAGUCUUCCCUAGCCCUGUGCCCUCCAGAUGUUUUAUACCACUGGCUGGGGCAAUGGAAAUGGGAUGUUUUAAUGGGGAAGAGAGAGACUGGCAGAGCUGGCUCUGAUCACUGUGCCGCCGCCACCUUCUGCCCUGGCCACUUUGCAUGCUAUGGAUGAGGCAGCAGACUCACCUGUCCAGCCCUGCCAAGGAGCCACCAAGGUUAGGACUGCAGCCUAAAGCAUUAAUAAAACAGCUUCACUCUAUCUCUGCCACCAACAGUGCAACCCUAUGCUUGCCUGCUCAGAAAUGUUCCCAUUGAGUUCACUCCCAAGUAAAUCCAUGUGAGAUUGCAGUCUAAGUGGCGGAGCAUAUAUCAGGAAGCUGGGCAGUGCAGGCAAGCAAAAUGAGUGCCUCUUGGUUAGAAAACCCCAGCCCUUUUCCAGGGACGAUGUCUUUGAUCCAACGUGAUGGUGAAAACUCACAUGGACUGCAAGUCUGUCAGAAGAAUUUGUCUGAAGUUGCCUACUUAACAGUGACCCAAUUAAAAAGUAGAUGAAACACACUGAGGUAAGUGGGAAAGAAAGAAGCUCAUUUGAAUCGGAUUAGUACAAUUAGCCAAUGUCCCCGGGAUUGUUUGCAGAGCUGUCUGUCAGGAUGGCCUUAAGGAGGGAUGUUAAAAUAUACAGAGGGCAUCUUAAUAUGGAAAUCAUGUGCCCUUACAACCAAGACAGAUUUUGAACACCUCAUAUUUCACAACCAGGUUUGUAUUAUGUGGCUGAGGCAAUUGAAGACUGCAAUUUUUCUUUCUGCAGCACUAAUAACUAGGAAGGAAGAGGAGGAGGUUCGGCUGGUGGAGCCUGCGCCAAUUAACAGGACCCUCGUGGUCGUCUUUGACAUCCCGACAUCGAAGGAGAGAUGAAAAAAAGUUACGAGGUUGUUAAGAUUCAGGUUUGUUUCAUAUUUCUACUUGUCAGGCAAGUAGGCCAGAAAUUUCACUCCUGUUUUCUUCCCCUCUGACGACGACAGCGGCUUUGAAAAGCAUCCGCCUCGCCUUUGAGAGUGCUGAUAUCUGCAAGCCCUCUGGUGGGAUUGUAGCAGCUAAUUGCCUGGGACUGACUGCACUGAAAGGAAAGGCAGGCGAAGAUUGCGGUGCUGUUACUUACAAGGAAAUAACAGGCAAAAAAAAUUAAAAGGGUGGCGGGGAGAUGGAAAGGAUGGCCUGGGAAAAGAAAAGAAAAGAAAAAGAGAUCAGCUUUGGAAACUCAAAAAACAGCAAUGCGCCUUCCCCUACUUCCCCAUUUUCUCCAGCUACAGUUCAAUCAAUAUAUACAGGGACUCAACAGCAUCCAUUUUGAAGAGGCAGUCUUCAAAAGGGCUUAAGACAUCCUGGGGUUUUCUGGGCUGCAGAAGUGCCAACAUUGUCCGAUCCAGCAUCCCACCCAGGUGUCAAGGAACUAUUGUGAAAUGUGGAAUUACAACACUGUGUAUCAGGGCUGUCCCCGCAGGAAGGCUAAAUUAAUAGUUCCUGUCAUAUUUAGGCAUAAAUAAGGGAAAACAAAUGGUGAAAUGCCCCCUGCUUCCACCACAAGCCCAGCAGGGAUUUGGGUUUUGUGGUGCCUCAACUUUGGGUUUUCCUUCCUCCUCCCACUUUGGAUUGCUUUGGCAGUGAAACAUUUAAUGAAGUUACCUAUAAGAAGAAGGGAUUUCAAACUUUGCUCAAGAAUGAUUCCAUCUAGCUUGACCAAAGCUAUAGUGGACCAUACUUCAUGAAGAUUGUCAUGGACAGAGUUGAGUUUACACUUCAGAGUAAGGAUGGAAGUAUCUGUCAAUAGCAGGUCUCUCAGUUUCUCAUUUUUCCAAACUUAAAUUCAGUUCUCCACACCUGUGCAGCAAUUAAUUUGCAUUUUUUUAAAAAAGACAAUCUCAUGAAAAUUUGAUAGCAUUUCAGUGUGAAUUUCCCCUAAUAAAAACUUUUUUUUUCCUGUAUGCUGUUUUAACUACACACUGCUUUACCCUGGCUUUUGACACCUGAGGUGCACAUAUUUACGACCCACCCUAUGUUUGCAAUCGAAAGUCACUUUAUGUUGUUUUUAACUUUGUACAUUAUUUGCUGCAACCCACCCUGGCACGUAAGGGUGAAGGGCAGGUAAUUAAUUAAAAUAAUAAAUAAAUGCAUGCAUUUUUGCCAAAAGUUGCCCUAAUAUGCAUUUUUACACGUUAUUUUCACUAUUAUAUUCAUUUGUGCACACUUUUCUUUAAUAUAUGUGCAUUUUUGUAAACAUUGGUUCGUUAGAGAACUGCAUCAAAACAUUCAGAUAAGUGUGAAUUUUGAAGAAUGGCUUGUUUUCAUUCUCGUGUUGUUUCAGAAAUUUGAUAGAGUUGCCUUUAAAUGCAAACUGAAUUGAAUUUCUUCCCCCAUCCCUACUCCAGAGGGUGGUCUAAGAGUUAAUUGCCACCUGUUGCCCUUUUGUAGUCACUUCAUUCCCUAGAAAUUGCCCACAGCUGCUUCCAUAACAUGAAAAUCACCUACAGCUCCAACAUUUAUUAGCUCCAUCACAUCAAGCAGCACAUAUCAGACUGUAAACAAUCACUCACAAUCCUUAGCUGACUCACAUCUUGUUUUUCUCCAUGCAUGUGUGGGUGGAAUAAUGUCUUUAACCACUUCUCAAUCAUAGGUGGACAGCCUCUGAAAUCUCCCAUUGUUUUAAAGAGCAAGCUUCCAGUCUCGGCAAACUUUGAUCUAACUUCCAUCGAUCCUAUUCUCCAUUUUGCUGAAGUUUAUGGCAUGAUUCCACCCUAAAAUGCCUGUGUGGCAAAAGAGGGAAUAGCUACUCCGCUUGCUUCUUUCCCUUUUUGCAUCACUCCAGGAAGCAACACCAGUGAUGCUAAAAUAAUAUGGUGAAGGAGGAGAAGGUUGAAGCCACAAUCUGCCGCCCCCCCACCCCUCCAAAAAAUCUUUGCAGAUUGGCACAGAGGAAUGAGGCUUUUCUCCCGCUAUGAAUGUCUCCCAAG
rnacentral:lncRNA from 1 species